ACCAUCCUUUCCUCGGGGUUGCGCUACCGUCCAAUGAGCGCAUAGUGAGGCGGUAUUGCUAACCCUAAACAACACACUUGCAUCAACUAGAGCUUUGCUUUACGUCGGUGCAAUUUUUGGAAAA
rnacentral:ncRNA from 1 species